rnacentral:tRNA from 1 species
GAGAAAGUCAUAAUGGCUAUGACAUUGGCUUGAAACCAGUCUUAGGGGGUUCGAUUCCUUCCUUUCUUA